rnacentral:rRNA from 1 species
AGUGAACGCUGGCGGUAGGCCUAACACAUGCAAGUCGAACGGCAGCACAGGAGAGCUUGCUCUCUGGGUGGCGAGUGGCGGACGGGUGAGGAAUACAUCGGAAUCUGCCCAGUCGUGGGGGAUAACGUAGGGAAACUUACGCUAAUACCGCAUACGACCUUCGGGUGAAAGAGGGGGAUCGCAAGACCUCUCGCGAUUGGAUGAGCCGAUGUCGGAUUAGCCAGUUGGCGGGGUAAUGGCCCACCAAGGCGACGAUCCGUAGCUGGUCUGAGAGGAUGAUCAGCCACACUGGAACUGAGACACGGUCCAGACUCCUACGGGAGGCAGCAGUGGGGAAUAUUGGACAAUGGGCGCAAGCCUGAUCCAGCCAUACCGCGUGGGUGAAGAAGGCCUUCGGGUUGUAAAGCCCUUUUGUUGGGAAAGAAAUCUUUCAGGCUAAUACCCUGGGAGGAUGACGGUACCCAAAGAAUAAGCACCGGCUAACUUCGUG